rnacentral:lncRNA from 1 species
AGUCUACCACCAUAUAUAGCUAGAGAAGACCAACCUUAAGUUUGAUUAUGAUGGCUUCCUCUCUGGCUGUGUCUGCCACUAGCCUAGUUGUUACCGCUGCUGUAAUGUCUUCCCAUCAAGGAACACACCCAACUUUUUCCUUGCUAAUAACAAAUCCACAUCGCCACUGAAACCCAUCAUCUCAUGCCAUGCCGGUGUUGGUUCCUUGCGAAGCAAGGCUCAUCAGGAUGGUUCUUUGUUCGGCAAGGCUCAUCGGGAUGGUUCCUUGUUUGGCGGCCAGGGUGCCAUGUUCGGCAAGGCUCAUCAGGAUGGUUCCGUGUUUGUCGGUCAGAGUUCAUUGUUCGGGAAGGCUCAUCAGGAUGGUUCCGUGUUUGUCGGCCAGAGUUCAUUGUUCGGCAAGGCUCAUCAGGAUGGUUCCUUGUUCGGCGGCCAGGGUGCCAUGUUCGGCAAGGCUCAUCAGGAUGGUUCCGUGUUUGUCGGCCAGAGUUCAUUGUUUGGCAAGACUCAUCAAGAUGGUUCCUUGUUCGGCGGCCAGGGUGCCAUGUUCGGCAAGGCUCAUCAGGAUGGUUCCGUGUUUGUCGGCCAGAGUUCAUUGUUUGGCAAGGCUCAUCAAGAUGGUUCCUUGUUCGGCGACCAGGGUGCCAUGUUCUGCAAGGCUCAUCAGGAUGGUUCCGUGUUUGUCGGCCAGAGUUCAUUGUUUGGCAAGGCUCAUCAAGAUGGUUCCUUGUUCGGCGACCAGGGUGCCAUGUUCUGCAAGGCUCAUCAGGAUGGUUCCGUGUUUGUCGGCCAGAGUUCAUUGUUUGGCAAGGCUCAUCAAGAUGGUUCCUUGUUCGGCGGCCAGGAUGCCAGGUUCGGCAAGGCUCAUCAAGAUGUCCAUCAGGAUGGUCAUCAUGAUGGUUCCUUGUUCGGCGGCCAAGGUGCCAUGUUCGGCAAGGCUCAUCAGGAUGCCCAUCAGGAUGGUACCUUGUUUGGAAAGGCUCGUGUCGAAGGCGAUUUAGGCGAUGGUUCCUUGUUCGGCAAAGGUCAAGAUGUCAAGAGGGGUGACAACUUUGUUGCAGC